GAUGAACGCUGGCGGCGUGCCUAAUACAUGCAAGUCGAGCGAACAGACGAGGAGCUUGCUCCUCUGACGUUAGCGGCGGACGGGUGAGUAACACGUGGAUAACCUACCUAUAAGACUGGGAUAACUUCGGGAAACCGGAGCUAAUACCGGAUAAUAUAUUGAACCGCAUGGUUCAAUAGUGAAAGACGGUUUUGCUGUCACUUAUAGAUGGAUCCGCGCCGCAUUAGCUAGUUGGUAAGGUAACGGCUUACCAAGGCAACGAUGCGUAGCCGACCUGAGAGGGUGAUCGGCCACACUAGAACUGAGACACGGUCCAGACUCCUACGGGAGGCAGCAGUAGGGAAUCUUCCGCAAUGGGCGAGAUCCUGACGGAGCAACGCCGCGUGAGUGAUGAAGGUCUUCGGAUCGUAAAACUCUGUUAUUAGGGAAGAACAAAUGUGUAAGUAACUAUGCACGUCUUGACGGUACCUAAUCAGAAAGCCACGGCUAACUACGUG
rnacentral:rRNA from 1 species